ensembl:lncRNA
AUCUAGUAUUCCUGCAAUUGUUAUUUUAUAAAGUGUCAUUAUGGAUUUUUUUUUUACCCAGAAGCAAUGGUUUAAAGUUAAACACAUCUUAAGGAUGGAUUUGUUUCUUACAAACAUGCAGCUUUUCACUUCAUUAACUGAUGGACUAGAGUUCAGACAUUAACUGAUGGACUGGAUUUGUGUGGAUUACUUGUGGAUUAUUGUGAUGUUGUUGCACUCUCAUUCUGACGGCACCCAUUCACUGCAGAGGAUCCACUGGUGAUGGGAUGAAAUUUCUCCAAAUCUUUUCCAGUUUACAUCUUGGAUGGCCAGAGGAGUGCACUGAAAUGACCCCGAUAGACUGCUGCAUGGGUCCACCAGAUCCAGUCUGUAUCCAAGUCAGAGGGUCACUGCAGUCACCCAGAUUCAGUAUGUAUCCAUGGUGGAUCAGCACCUAGAAAGGACCUCUACAGCCCUGAAAGACAGUGGAGACCAGGACUAGAGCCCCAGAUACAGAUCCCCUGUAAAGACCUUGUCUCAGACGACCACCGGGACAGACCACAGGAAACAGAUGAUUCUUCUGCACAAUCUGACUUUGCUGCAGCCUGGAAU